UGCGAAAGUGGCGAAACUGGUAGACGCGCUAUCUUGAGGGGGUAGUGAAGCUAAGCUUCAUGGGGGUUCAAGUCCCCCCUUUCGCAUC
rnacentral:tRNA from 1 species